rnacentral:tRNA from 1 species
UUAUAGCUUAAAUAGUUUAUUAAAAUGUCAACUUGUGGCGUUGAAGAUGCGUGGUUAUGUGCUUUAAG